UGUCUGUUGGCUGAAAGCCUGGAGCCUUGCCCACUCACUCUGGAAAGGCCUCACAAGACCCACAAGGUUGUAUGGGUCUCAGAGAAAGGCCAAGACCAACCAUUCAGUAGGUCACCCGCUAACCUCCCUAGUGUUGUAACUCCCAGGCUGGAUCCUCACCUGCCUACUCAAAGCAGGCUCGACAAGGCUAGCAAGGUUUCAACCGUCCUCCCAUGCCUCCCAGCUGCCAGCCUACCCACUCAGAGCAGGCCCCCUGGGAUCCACAAGGCUCCUCAAUCUGUCCAGUCUCUGAAGUUGCCGGAGAUGCCUGCCUCUCAAAUGGAGCAUACCCCAUUUAAAAAAAACAUGGUCCAAGAGCAAGACAGGGAGUUAUGAUACCAUCCUUACUUCACACCCAGGACUCUGCUCCUUGUUAUUGAAGCUGAUGACCAAAUGGUCAUCCAAGACGUCCUCAUCUCCACCUCACCUCCCCCGCAAAACAAGAAGUCAUCAGGCUGGAGGAUUCACUUUAAGUGAGUCCUGAGCGUGGCUCUCUCUUCCAGUCAAGGAAUCACUCCCUCUACCCACUAAGAUAAAGAGCUUGGUCAUCUGGCCUCACUAUCUAGACCAAAAGCCACACCAGGGUACGACCAGAGGGGAAGGACUGGAGUCAUGGCGUCUAUUUCAACGUUUUAUAUGUAGGUGGGACAACAGCGCCCUCAGCUGGUCAGCUGCAGCUCCGGUGGUCAGCUUCACCAGCCUUCUAGGUGCCAUCGCUCCCAUUCAUCAUCACCCAGUCUGUUAAUUGUCUUGUCCCCAUCAUCACACCUGGUUCCCAUUAUCUCAUCUGUGAGUGUGUGUGUGUGUGUGUGUGUGUAGGUCUCUUCUGCCCCUCAUUCUGUAUUCAUCAAUGUUAAAUGUUACAUGUAUUCUUUCUAUGUGGACAUUGCACCUUGCAUUUCCAUUACCCAUGUAUGCGUUCUUCU